AUGAACGCUGGCGGCGUGCCUUAGGCAUGCAGGUCGAGCGGGACCCGCAAGGGUUCAGCGGGCGGACGGGUGAGUAACGCGUAGGAAUCUACCCUAAGGUGGGGAAUAGCUCUCCGAAAAGGAGAGGUAAUACCGCAUACCUUUAACUCGCAAGAGUUAAAGAAAGCACGUAACUGUGCGCCAUAGGAUGAGCCUGCGUCCCAUCAGCUAGUUGGUAGGGUAAUGGCCUACCAAGGCAACGACGGGUAGCUGGGUCUGAGAGGAUGGUCAGCCACAAUGGGACUGAGACACGGCCCAUACACCUACGGGUGGCAGCAACCGGGAAUAGUUCGCAAUGGACGAAAGUCUGACGACGCGGACGCCGCGUGGAGGAUGACGGCCUUCGGGUUGUAAACUCCUUUUGUAAGGGAAAUAAAACCUCACUUUUUGGUGAGCUGACUGUUACCUUACGAAAUAAGCCGCUGCUAACUACGUGCCAGAAAGCCUCGGUGAUACGUAGGCGGCAAGCGUUAUCCGGAAUUACUGGGCGUAAAGAGUUGCGUAGGCGUCUUGAUAAGUCGAUGCUUCAAGCUCCCAGCUUAAACUGGGAUUAAGGCAGCGAUACUAUCAGGAUUGAGAUUGUCAGGGGGAUAGCGGAACAAUCGGUGGAGCAGUGAAAUGCGUUGAUAUCGAUUGGAACACCAAUGGCGUAGGCAGCUAUCUGGGGCAAUACUGACGCUGAGGCACGAAAGCGUGGGGAGCAAAACGGAUUGGAUACCCGUGUAGUCCACGCCGUAAACGAUGGAUGCUAGAUAUUGCAGGUUUGACCCCUGCAGUGUCGUAAGCUAACGCGUUAAGCAUUCCCGCCUGGGGAGUACGGCCGCAAGGCUAAAAACUUAAAGGAAUUGACGGGGGACCCGCCACAAGCAGUGGAGCGUGUGGUUUAAUUCGAUACAAAGCGAAAAACCUCACCAGGGUUUGACAUGGUACUGCAAGCGCACGGAAACGUGUGAUCUUCGAGAGUGUACCACAGGUGCUGCAUGGCUGUCGUCAGCCUCGUACCGUGAGGCGUCGCCUUAAGUGGCUCAACGAGCGCAACCCCUAUCACUAGUUGUAUCGCUCUAGUGAAACUGCUCCGGCAACGGAGAGGAAGGUGGGGACGAUGUCAAGUCAUCAUAGCCCUUAUGUCCUGGGCUACACACACCCUACAAUGGACCGUAACAAUGGGAGGCGAAACAGCAAUGUCAAGCAAAUCCCCAAAAACGGUCCUCAGUUCAGAUUGCAGGCUGCAACCUGCCUGCAUGAAGUCGGAAUUGCUAGUAAUCGUGGAUCAGCAGGCCACGGUGAAUACGUUCUCGGGUCUUGUACACACCGCCCCGUCAAGUGAGCAAAGUCAGGGGGCGCCCGAAGCCGAUUGUCUAAACCGCAAGGGAGGACGUCGUCGGAGGCG
rnacentral:rRNA from 1 species